UCUGUGUUCUCACUGGACAAGUGCUGACUCUCUUUCUCCUUUUAUGCGUGGUUGUUACCCAGGAAAGACCAUCCUACUAGGAGAUCUGUGCAUUCAGAAGCCCAUGCAAGCAGAUGGAAACAGCAGCUGCCAAGCACACUACACCUCCCAGCCUGCAAUAACAAUCACACAUCACCUCACCUCUGGCCCACACUUGGCCUUCUGCUGCUGCAGCAUGACAAACCACUGCACACCAUCACCUCUUGUGUCCCCAGCUCAGCAGAAAGAUAAGGGCCUCUCCAGGGCUUUUGCUGCCUCCACCACCAUCGGUCAACAUCCAGGAAGGAAGACGUUUCUAAGGAAACCACGGAGGCUUUCCACCAAGGUGGUUGCAUGA
rnacentral:lncRNA from 1 species